AUACGAAGGGGGCUAGCGUUGUUCGGAAUUACUGGGCGUAAAGCGCGCGUAGGCGGAUUGGUCAGUUAGGGAUGAAAUCCCAGGGCUUAACCCUGGAACUGCCUCUAAUACUGCCAGUCUUGAGUUCGGGAGAGGUGAGUGGAAUUCCUAGUGUAGAGGUGAAAUUCGUAGAUAUUAGGAAGAACACCAGUGGCGAAGGCGGCUCACUGGCCCGAUACUGACGCUGAGGCGCGAAAGCGUGGGGAGCAAACAGGAUUAGAAACCCUAGUAGUCC
rnacentral:rRNA from 1 species